rnacentral:rRNA from 1 species
UACGCUCUAUCAGAGUUUGAUCCUGGCUCAGGAUGAACGCUAGCGGCAGGCUUAACACAUGCAAGUCGAGGGGCAGCAUGAACCGACCUUCGGGAAGGUUUGAUGGCGACCGGCGCAAGGGUGCGUAACGCGUGAGCAACUUGCCCGUUUCUGGGGAAUAACCGGUGGAAACGCCGACUAAUACCCCAUAGCAUCAACUUUGGGCAUCCUUAGUUGAUUAAAGAAUUUCGGAAACGGAUAGGCUCGCGUGACAUUAGCUAGAUGGCGGGGUAACGGCCCACCAUGGCUACGAUGUCUAGGGGUUCUGAGAGGAAGGUCCCCCACACUGGAACUGAGACACGGUCCAG